AAAUGCAUCUUUUCAAAACAAUUUCAUUAUAUGAGGCUUGAUUAUAUAAAAACAAAACAAAAAAUAAAUUAUCACCGUUAUCAAUUAUAUCAGUAUUCAAUAAAUCAAAUUGUUGCAUUAAUUUCAAUUGAAAACUGAAUGAAAAUAACUAUUCUUACUAAGCUGACACUUGCGCAGGUGCUGAGCUCCGCUUUCGAUGUAUAUAAAAUGCCACAUCAAAUAAUAUAAUGAGCACUUAGUUCAUCCAAACGAAACGUGAAACAUACAAGCGACAAUGAAAGCCUUCAAUUUACUUCUACUGCUUUGCUUGCUGUACUGCAUUGCGGUCGCUCCAAGCUACGCUCAAAACGAUGACGACGAACAGGAUAUAUGUGAUAGUAUAGUAGUGGACGUCGAUGCAUUAAAUGGAGUCCUUUGAGAAAUAAACAAUUACAUUCUUACAAAUACAA